UGGCUCAUCAGGUAAGAGCACUGGAUUUUCUUCCAGUGGUCCUGAGUUCAAUUCCCAG
rnacentral:tRNA from 1 species